GACAAACGCUGGCGGCGUGCCUAAUACAUGCAAGUAGAACGCUGAAGGAGGAGCUUGCUUCUCUGGAUGAGUUGCGAACGGGUGAGUAACGCGUAGGUAACCUGCCUGGUAGCGGGGGAUAACUAUUGGAAACGAUAGCUAAUACCGCAUAAGAGUAGAUGUUGCAUGACAUUUGCUUAAAAGGUGCAAUUGCAUCACUACCAGAUGGACCUGCGUUGUAUUAGCUAGUUGGUGGGGUAACGGCUCACCAAGGCGACGAUACAUAGCCGACCUGAGAGGGUGAUCGGCCACACUGGGACUGAGACACGGCCCAGACUCCUACGGGAGGCAGCAGUAGGGAAUCUUCGGCAAUGGACGGAAGUCUGACCGAGCAACGCCGCGUGAGUGAAGAAGGUUUUCGGAUCGUAAAGCUCUGUUGUAAGAGAAGAACGAGUGUGAGAGUGGAAAGUUCACACUGUGACGGUAUCUUACCAGAAAGGGACGGCUAACUACGUG
rnacentral:rRNA from 1 species